CCUGGCCUGAGACCCCGGAUACUUGAGUUUUCGGGGGUCUAACAGUGUCAAGCUCCCCACCUCCUGCCCCAUGCUUUCUGGCUACACAGACAAACCUCUUUGGGGCAGGAGCUCCACCCAGUCACUGUAAUUCCUCUACCGACCAACAUUUUGAUUAAAUGUGUUCUUCUAGGAUAAAAGCUUUAUUAGUAUCCAGUUGUAGCCCCUUCUGCUUUGAUAACUGCCUGACACAUCAUUUCAUUUGAUUUAUUGCCCCACCGAACAUGUGCCAUGAGACUCCUCCUCACUCACAUCCAGACCAAACGCAACAAAAAACUUGGAGGCAGGCUGAGUCUUCAGGUAUCUCCAGUUCAUUCUUUCCAACUCUUGUUCCUCACCACAGGAAAAGACAACCUAGAAGGAAGAAGAAGUCAAAGCAAAACACAAGGGAACACAGACUUGCACUCGGAACACCCUUCAAGGGUCACUGUUCAGAACCCAUGAAGUCAAGUUUCCUCUGCUCUGUGCUGGGGACCUUGGCUACCAGAUGUGAUGAGAAAAAGGAAGCUCAUGUGGCCCCAGCACUGGGAAGACCAGGGCAAGAAGAUUCCCCUGAGUUCCAGAUCAACCCGAGAUACAGUGUGAGACCCUGCUCCCAGCCCCCUAGAAAGUGAAAUCUACAGUUCCAGUCUUUCCCUGGAGGGUUGGUUCCUGCAGAGCCACGGGUCUGCAGUCCACAUUGGAGGGCCAAGGAAGCUGUGUUCUGAUGCCAGAAGAAGAAUGGCAGCAGUGGCCAUCAACAGGGUGGAUGUACUCAUGAGCAAGAAGGGAAGGCAGGCAAACCUUUUCCUCUGGCUGGAAACUGCUGCCCACUUGGGGGUGGGGGUGGGGGGGCUCCCCCUCCCAUUUACUCCUGUCUGGAAAUCCCUCCCCCACAGACCCACCCAGAAGCACAAGUCUUAGUUUCUUCCUGAUCCAAUCAGCCUGACAAUGAAGAUUAACCACUAUGCCCUUCAAAGUCUUGAUGCUCUGGUUUAGGGGUGAAAGGCACGAAAGGGGCCAUGAUUCCUGCUUCUACUGUCUUCUCAGAUGCUACAGUGCCAUGUUUGGGAGUAAUGUAUCUUUUUUUUAAUUUUUUUUUUUUAUUAGUUCAAGUUAGGGAACAAGCUUGUUUCUUCUGCA